AUUGUUAGUUGCCAUCAUUCAGUUGAGCACUCUAGCGAGACUGCGGUAAUAAACCGGAGGAAGGUGGGAUGACGUACAAAUCAUCAUCGCCCCUUAUGACCGUGGGCUACACACGUGCUACAAUGGUUGGUACAACGAGUUGCGAGUCGGUGACGGCGAGCUAAUCUCUUAAAGCCAAUCUCAGUUCGGAUUGUAGGCUGCAACUCGCCUACAUGAAGUCGGAAUCGCUAGUAAUCGCGGAUCAGCACGCCGCGGUGAAUACGUUCCCGGGCCUU
rnacentral:rRNA from 1 species